rnacentral:rRNA from 1 species
UAGGGAAUCUUCGGCAAUGGACGAAAGUCUGACCGAGCAACGCCGCGUGAGUGAAGAAGGUUUUCGGAUCGUAAAACUCUGUUGGUAGAGAAGAACGUUGGUGAGAGUGGAAAGCUCAUCAAGUGACGGUAACUACCCAGAAAGGGACGGCUAACUACGUCCACG